rnacentral:misc_RNA from 1 species
CCGAUGCCGCCGUUGAGGCUCUCAUAGAUGCCUUUCGAGACGCCGCCCUCGCGCGAAAAGAAUGCGUGGCGCAGACCCGGCACAGCCGACAACAGCGACGACGUAAAUGUCAUGAUUUCGUGUCCUGCUCGGACAGCGCUGCGAGCGUUGCGAUGGCGGGGUGCGAAAUGCCGAGCACCUUGAACAGCGAGCCCAUUCCUUCCGGGCUCGGGCCGGUGAGGCGGGCCAGUCCUGCGGUAAUCAGC